rnacentral:rRNA from 1 species
UGCGGUUAUUACAGCAAAGAGGAUACAGUCUGUUCCCAUUCCGAACACAGAAGUUAAGCUUUUAGCGCCGAUGGUACUUGGUGGGAAGCUGCCUGGGAGAGUAGGGAGGUAGCCGCGU